rnacentral:misc_RNA from 1 species
GAUGAAGAACGUAGCGAAAUGCGAUAAGUAAUGUGAAUUGCAGAAUUCAGUGAAUCAUCGAAUCUUUGAACGCACCUUGCACCCUUUGGCAUUCUGAAGGGUAUGCUCGUUUGAGUGUCAUUGUACUCUCACACUCCCGAUCUUUGCAUUGGGAGCAGUGGACUUGGGUUUGCUGCUUCACCGUCGCUUACCUCAAAUAGGUUAGUGCAACUCUUGGUUGGACAUAGUACGGCGUGAUAAGUGUUCUUCGCCGGUGCCUCGCAAAGAGGGUGGCCGAUCGGGAUGUUGUGCUCCAAACCGUCUUCGGACAAUCACUGACGACUUGACCUCAAAUCGAGUAAGACUACCCGCUGAACUUAAGCAUAUCAAUAAGCGGAGGA